AUGUGUGUGGCCUGUGCUAUGUUCCCCAGUGAGGAGCUGGGCUCCGUGUGUGUCCCUUCCCUGCAGGACCCAGCGGGCAUCAUGACGUGGCAGCUGUGCCCCAGCCACGGCCCGGCAUCCCGGCCGGGGCCCACGGUCGCUCCCGCUGGGGGCUCCUGUUGUGUGCGCGUUCUCAUGUCACCUCUGUUGUUCGUUCUCAGUGCAGAACGUUUCCUGUUCCCAGCGGAUCCUGUUCUAGAGCAGAAGAUUUCCCCUUCCAUCUCUGACCCCCUUCCUGGGACAAGCCUUGUUGGGGGGCCCUGGCUUCAGAGCUGUGGUGGGAACAGCACGCUCAAAUGCCAGCCUCCUUUCUUCCCAUCCACCAGUUCACUGCGGGGCCAUUUCUGGUCUUUGUCCAACAGGAAACCCAUUUCUGGUGGGAUCUGCCUUCCAGGGCCACAGGGCCACUCAGCCCAGGCAUCUCUGUCCUGCAGGUCAGUGCUGGGACGGACAGCAGGGGCGAGCCCAGUAUCUGGCAGAUGGGGUGGGUGAGAACGGAGAGGGGAGGAUGCCACCCAAAGCCUGUGUCUGGGAAGUCCCCACACAGCCUGGGUACUGCCUGGAAAGCCUGUCCUGAGUUAAACCGUGGGCCUCGCCUCGCCCAGCGGCCUGCGAAGCCAGCAUCUCUGUGAAGGUGGAUGGAAGCGCCUUUAUCCUCAUUUUGAGCUGCAAGCCUGGUCGGCCUCCUCCAAAGCCCUCAAGUGACUUUCUAACCCAAGACCCAGCCCCUGGGAGGAGGGUGGGUGCAGGGCUGGUGGGCAGGCCUGGAAGACCCUUGUAGUGCGUCCCAAAAUGUGUGGGGCAGCUGGGAGGACCGCCAAGUGCAAGCGGUCGUAGGUCCUCUUGAGGUGUCUGAAGCCCCUUCCUGGUGAUGGGAGGUGGAGGCACUGGUGUUCUGGGGAGGCCUGGAGGGCGUGAAGUCUGGGGGGGCCUUUGGGGUGCCUUCAGCUCCAAGGCUGCAUCGUUCCUGAUGAGAGCUUUAGUCAGAGCUGGACCAACGGGAGGACUGCGGCCUGGCCCGGCUCCCUGGAAUGGAGCUCAGCUCUGCGGAGGUGUCAAACCACCUGUCGCCCCUGCGGUCCCACUGCUGAGGGAGUGUGGUGUGUGCAGGUUCGGGGGUGGCUUCCUUUGCCGGGAGCAGCCGGCCCCGCGUGUGCCCAGUGGAUGUUUGUGAGCCUCGGUCCCCACAGCACUGUAUAGGCUGCCUCUGUCUUGUGCUGGUCCUGUUGACUUCUAUGAUACCUACAAAUAAAUAUUUUCAUGGCGAUGGU